AAAUUGAAGAGUUUGAUCAUGGCUCAGAUUGAACGCUGGCGGCAGGCCUAACACAUGCAAGUCGAACGGUAACAGGAAGCAGCUUGCUGCUUCGCUGACGAGUGGCGGACGGGUGAGUAAUGUCUGGGAAACUGCCUGAUGGAGGGGGAUAACUACUGGAAACGGUAGCUAAUACCGCAUAACGUCGCAAGACCAAAGAGGGGGACCUUCGGGCCUCUUGCCAUCGGAUGUGCCCAGAUGGGAUUAGCUAGUAGGUGGGGUAACGGCUCACCUAGGCGACGAUCCCUAGCUGGUCUGAGAGGAUGACCAGCCACACUGGAACUGAGACACGGUCCAGACUCCUACGGGAGGCAGCAGUGGGGAAUAUUGCACAAUGGGCGCAAGCCUGAUGCAGCCAUGCCGCGUGUAUGAAGAAGGCCUUCGGGUUGUAAAGUACUUUCAGCGGGGAGGAAGGUGUUGAGGUUAAUAACCUCAGCAAUUGACGUUACCCGCAGA
rnacentral:rRNA from 1 species